UACGUAGGCAGCGAGCGUUGUUCGGAUUUACUGGGCGUAAAGGGUGCGCAGGCGGUGGAGCAAGUCUGUUGUGAAAUCUCCCGGCUUAACCGGGAGGGUGCGGCGGAAACUGUUCUGCUGGAGUGAGGGAGAGGCAAGCGGAAUUCCUGGUGUAGCGGUGAAAUGCGUAGAUAUCUGGAGGAACACCGGUGGCGAAGGCGGCAUCCUGGACCGGUAUUGACGCUGAGGCGCGAAAGCCAGGGGAGCAAACGGG
rnacentral:rRNA from 1 species